GUGAAGCAUUUAAGAACCUUCAUUCAAAGUAAGGUUGAGAAAAUCUGAAGCCUACGGGGUUCCUUUUUUCUUUCCUGCCCACCCUCUCAGCCUUUCCUUCUAGUCUACCUCCAUUCCUUUGUGUCAACUGCCAAUUUGCAUAAACACUUUCUACCAGGGACUCUUAGUGGGCACACUGUGCUGGAAGAGUGUAGGUAAUUUUCACUAUCUUUCCUGCCCCCACCCCCUAUUCUACUCUCUCCAUAAUUAAACUUGUAUCAGCCUGUCUGCAGGAGCCCCUCCUCCCACCAGAUCAUCACUCCUUCAGAACUCCACCUCUUGGUGUAUAACUCUGAUCCAUAGCUAUUUCUUGCUGUUCUUCUCAGCCUUUCCUUCUAUCCCAUCUGCAUCCCUUCUAUCCCAUCUGCAUUCAUCAAACUAGAAAAGUAUUCACUAACAGGGAUGCCACAGCCACUAAACUUGACUAUGAUCCACAGUAGGCAGUAACAAGCAGAGAAGUAAACACCCCACCAACACAUACAAAAAUAAAAAAAAAUUUAAAAAGGACCAAAUAUCUACCCCAAGAAAUACCUGAAGCAUCAUAACUCCAGAUGCCUAGGUACCAGUGGAAAAUCACAACCAUAAGCAGCAAGAAAAUAUGUCUUUUCUAGAAGCCAGUAACCUUAUUACAAAAAUCUAUGAGAAAUACAAUUUACCUAAACACAAAACAAGGAAUUAAAAUUGACAAUUAUGAAUAUGCUAAAGCACCUUGAAGAGGAUAUAAAAAAUGGCUUAGUGAAGACCAUGAAAUCACACGGAAAUAGUGGAUGAAAUAAUGGAAAUAAUUCAAGGUAUUAAUGUGGAAACAGAAUCACUAAAGAAAACACAAACUGAAAUAAAAUUCAAAAUAAAAACCUAGAAGAUCAAACAAACAAACAAACAAAAACCUCAGAGAUAAGCCUCACCAACAUCAACAGAGUAAGGGCUAGCAGCAAGCUCAACCCUGAUCCCAGCUGCAACUGGUCUUGGGAAAUAAUGAAAUAUAUAAAACAUAUAAAUUUAAAAUGAGUGUCGGGUAUGCUCAGCAUGAUGCAACUUCCCUGGGUUUUUCUGCUACCAUAAGGUGACAAGAUUUGUGACCUCAAAACAGAUGAAUGUUUUUGGUCUCUAACGUUCUGUAAGUACGUUCAUAAAUUUGUGGAUUAUUUGAUCUGUUUUUAGUACCCAUUAUCGUGCGAGCACAUAAGUGCUCCAGGAACAUUUGAAAACAUUGAUGCAAAAGUACUUUUACAUUGCUUUCAUUUGGUGUGCCCAGAGCCUGAAUACUUCAAAAGAACAGCUCCUAAAAUCAGAAUACUAAACCAUCAGCCUUUUUCAGCCCAUACACCGAUGCAUGGUUGAUGACUGCAGAAUAAACCUUGCACCUUGGCAGGUAAGCUCACAAAAGUGUCCAUCUGUCCAGCAGAUGGCCCCAUGCUUCCCUACUCUGCUCUACAGCACUAUCUAGAGGAAUAAUUAAAACCCUCCUCGUCUUCUCAAAUUCUAGAACUUGUUCCCAAUCUAAGGGAAAAUUCCCAAACUCCCAACUUAGAGAUAUUUUCUUUCUUUCUAAUUUCUUUCUACUUUUCUCCCUAAUUAUUGUCACUCCUUUAAUGUUGCAUGUUUGCAAGAUACUUUAGGCCUGACCCUGAAGGUGCAGAAACCCUCUCUAGCGUGUGCUGAAGAUACUUUUAUGAUAGAGCAAGAUGCAGAUUAAUUCUCCCUUUCCUGGUAGCUUUCCUCUCAUUUGACAAUGGAAGCCAUAUUUCUUUCUCAUAUAUACUUUUAAGAGGAGUGACUCAGCAUGGAAAUCCCAUAAGGGCAAUAAACCCUAAGACAGUUGAUGUCGCUGCUUCUACUGUUGAGAAAAUGAAUGGGGAUCAAUGAAAUAGCAUAGUCUAUGCCAGUUUUCUUUCCUUUGCAUUAAGCAUAAUUAAUAAAUAAAAUUUCAAGGCUAAGGUGAUUGUUUUCCAUGUAAUCAGAAGUUCAAAUAAAUGUUGCACAUGACACUUUAACACUUUUGCUAGUUAAUAAAAAAAAAAAAACCUCAAAAUCAGAAUAAACUACAAGCCCUAUCUAAUUUUGGCAAUAAGUAACACUUUAAAAGGCAGAAGAAUUAAUUACAACAUCAAAAGUCCCUCUGCCACAUAAGUAAUACAUUGUCCAUAAAGUUAUACAACUUCCUUUCCUAAGAGUUUUCCCAGAACCUGGAGUGAUGUCAUAUAGUUUCAGUCAGUCGUUAAUAAAAAUUUAUUGGAAAACUGUACCAUAAGACACAUGACUAUUGAAAUAUUAAGUGCUAAGAACUUGAUAACCAAACAACAUGAAGUUAACAUAUUUGAGAAAAAGACAUGACAAAAUUCUAUGAAAUAACAUUAAAAAGAGUAAAAUUAUAUAAAAUUAGUGAAGUUCUGCAGGAGCUUGUUCCAGUCUAUAAAUGAAUAAAAGGAAGUAUCAGGCUCAUUACUCAGCCUGAAAUUGAUAUAUUUAAAUGAGACAACAGAUUUAUUCUUAAAGGUCAUAAUGUACAAUAUGUUGAAAACUAUAUUUUUUUGCAACCACUCUUAAUUCUAUGAUGAAUAUUUAUGUCAGUUCUUAAGUAUGUGAGAGAAAGGAUAAUUUUAGAAAAUUCUUUUGGAGGUCGAUGCUUCAUCGAUCUACUUGACUAAGUUCAGUGGCACUGAGUUGGUUAGUAAAGCUCACUGCUAAAUGCGUCGACAUUGAGGGGGUCACUGAAUGGCAGAAGAACUACCCUGAGCAUGGCUAUUACGUCACACUGAGUGUGUGACAGAAAAGAAAGGAGAAAACUUGAGAGCACACUCACUCUCUUUGCUUCUUGGCCUCCUUGAUGUGAGUUCCUUUACUGGGCCACAACUGUGUCCUGCCCUUGCAGCUGAGAUGUACUGAAACAUAUGAAACCUGGGGAAAAACCAACCACUCUCCCUGGAGUUUGAUGGGGUGAAUUUGUCACAGUGAUGAAAAAUGCAAGUCAUACAGCGAUGUUUGAGGGGGAAAGUCUUGUAAGCUAGACGUCUUAACCACUGUCAUCUCUCCCAAGGGUGUUAGAAAACAUUGAUGCCAUUUAAACUAAACAUGAGGCAAAGAAAUGGGAGAGGCAGUGCAGAAAACUGCAAAGGGAGUGGAAGCUACCACUGUCACCCUUCCUGGUCACUGCCUAUUUGCUUGCCUACAUUUCCCAAUAUACUCUCAGGCUAAGCGAAGAAAAGGGUCUGCAUUUUGUCAUCACUGGACUCCAGCCCAAUCCACUGCCUCACACAGAGUGGUGUCAGUAAAUACGUGUGGAGUAAAUGAAAGGAGACAGGAGUAACCUUUGGAAGGAUGGGAUGCCUGCUUCAUUUCCUGCUAAACUGCCUUCUACACUACAGACUACCUAUUCCUUGUCUUAGAGUCUUAAUCGAGACUUUUGGUAACAUUUGGUAUCUUGUCUAGGUCCAUUCAUUAAGGAAGUUACCUUCAGUGUCCUAUUCAACAUCUUGGUUUUUCUAUCAAGAGAGCCAUUCUUCACAUCUAAAUUUGAAUUUUGAAGACCUGCCAGUCACAGUUCUUUGAACAUAAUCCUUUAGAAGGCUACUUCGCUUACCCUUUAGGAUCAAUUAGUUCUGAAAUUUAGUAUUUGUACACCUUGAUUGCUCUGGUCAACUUAGGACUGUCCUGAUAGAAAAGAUAUACAAGUUCAGGUGAAGAAAAUUUAGAAUUAAUUUUGAUCAUCAAUUUUUUUUCAUUUUGCACAGUAUGCAGAAAGUAAUAACUGUAAGAUGUUGGAGAAUAUGACUAACUUGGAGACUAGUGAUGUUUAUGUUAACACAGUAGAGAAGACAGACUCCAACAAAUCAUUAUGGUAAAAUAUCCAUAUUCAGUAAGACACUGAAAAUCUAACAGGCCUUGGCUUGAAUUUUUAGAAAAUGAAAAAAAAAAAAAAAAACUACAAGCAAGAGCACCUUCUGCAGAAAACCAAGUAACUUAAAAAUAGAUUUAUAAGAAUAUGAAAAUUAAUAAAAGAUUAUCAGUGCUUAGGGAAUUGUAAAAAUAGAAGCAAUGAGAGAGCUCUAUAUAAGGUUUCUCUCCAAAAGCAAAGAGGGAUUUUUUUUUUCAAAGCAAAGACAAAGAUAAAGAAACGAUGCCUGCAAUAAGUUUCUGGGUGCCAGGGGG
rnacentral:lncRNA from 1 species